UACGUAGGGGGCAAGCGUUGUCCGGAUUUAUUGGGCGUAAAGAGCGUGUAGGCGGCCUUACAGGUCAGCUGUGAAACUCGAGGCUCAACCUCGAGACGUCGGUUGAACCGUAAGGCUAGAGUCCGGAAGAGGAGAGUGGAAUUCCCGGUGUAGCGGUGAAAUGCGCAGACUAUCGGAAGGAACACCAGUGGCGAAAGCGGCUCCUCGGUGCCAGCACCGACGUUCAGGCACG
rnacentral:rRNA from 1 species